UUGAAAGGGAAACGAUUGAAGUCAGUCGUCCCUGUGGGUAAUCAGCCUUUUGGGUGUGAUUAUGUGGAGUGUGAAGAGUUAAACGCCUUUAUGCCUGCAUAUUCGUGCCCUUUGGGUGUAUUUACCCGUGUGGUAAGUUACCAUCAAUUUUGGUCGUCAUAGAAUGGCUGGAGGAAUGUAGCUUCGAUCUUGUAUUGAAGUGUUAUAGCCUUCGGUAGAUGUGAUGAUCGGGAUUGAGGAUUGCAACGGAUACCCUUCGGGGCUACCUGUCUGAUCUCUGAUCGUUGCUCUGGUGCCGAAAGCUUGCUUACGGUUAUCAAAGUUGAUGGUCAAUAGGUUAGAACGGGUUAAAUUCGUUAAGGAUGUUGGACGUA
rnacentral:rRNA from 1 species